rnacentral:rRNA from 1 species
CGGAGAGGGAGCCUGAGAAACGGCUACCACAUCUAAGGAAGGCAGCAGGCGCGUAAAUUACCCACUCCCAGUUCGGGGAGGUAGUGACGAAAAAUAACAAUACAGGACUCAUAUCCGAGGCCCUGUAAUUGGAAUGAGUACACUUUAAAUCCUUUAACAAGGACCAAUUGGAGGGCAAGUCUGGUGCCAGCAGCCGCGGUAAUUCCAGCUCCAAUAGCGUAUAUUAAAGUUGUUGCGGUUAAAACGUUCGUAGUUGAAUCUGUGCUUCAUACGGGUAGUACAACUACAAUUGUGGAUUGUACAUUACCUUAUGUAUGCAAGCGUAUUAUCGGUGGGGUUCUAUAUAUAAUAAUACGUGUAUUAUUAUAUAUCCCUCCUAUAUAAAAAACCUGCAUCAGUGCUCUUCAUCGAGUGCUGUUGUGGGCCGAUACUAUUACUUUGAACAAAUUAAGGUGCUUAAAGCAGGCUCCAAAUGCCUGAAUAUUCUGUGCAUGGAAUAAUGAAAUAUGACUUCUGAUCGACUUUCAUUGGUUUAUCGAUCAAGAGGUAAUGAUUAAUAGAAGCAGUUUGGGGGCAUUAGUAUUACGACGCGAGAGGUGAAAUUCUUGGACCGUCGUAAGACUAACUUAAGCGAAAGCAUUUGCCAAAGAUGUUUUCAUUAAUCAAGAACGAAAGUUAGA